CUUGGAUUCGAAGUGAAAAAGUUUCCAAAUGAAAAUACUAGUGUGUCUCGUCCUGGUUCUGGCGGUGAUGCAAAUUGGGGUCGACGCCAAACGAUGUCCCGAGGCCAACUGUGCAUGUACUAGAAUCUACGACCCUGUGUGUACCUCUAAAGGAUGUUUUUAUGCAAACAAAUGCUUGUCCGACUGCGUUCAUCAAACAGUAGUUUCUCGAGGACCAUGCAAGUGAUAAAGGUGACGAGAAAUAUUAAAACUUACUGUAAAUACGCCGUGAUUUUAUAGUGGUUUUGGCAACGAAAUUUUUAAAUUUUGAAUAUAAUAGAGUUAAUAAAGAAUUUAAUAAAAUAUAUAUUUUUAUAACAUUAAAAUUAUUUUUUACGAAUAAUAAAUGAGAACUCUUGGUAAUGCUACUAAAUCUCACGUACUCUUACGAUCUCUACGAUCGGUGCCAUUCAUAACUAUGAAUUAAUUGUCGCGACGGAACUAUCAUUAUCAAACUCGAACGAGUGAAAAGU